rnacentral:rRNA from 1 species
AGGACGAACGCUGGCGGCGUGCUUAACACAUGCAAGUCGAGCGAGGCCCUCUCUUCGGAGAGGUGCCCUAGCGGCGAACGGGUGAGUAACACGUGGGCAACCUGCCCCUAGCACUGGGAUAAGCCCGGGAAACCGGGUCUAAUACCGGAUAUGACCUUCAAGGGCAUCCUCGAAGGUGUAAAGGAUUCUGGCUAGGGAUGGGCCCGCGGCCUAUCAGCUUGUUGGUGGGGUAAUGGCCCACCAAGGCAACGACGGGUAGCCGGCCUGAGAGGGCGACCGGCCACACUGGGACUGAGACACGGCCCAGACUCCUACGGGAGGCAGCAGUGGGGAAUAUUGCACAAUGGGCGAAAGCCUGAUGCAGCGACGCCGCGUGAGGGAUGACGGCCUUCGGGUUGUAAACCGUCUUUCAGCUCCGACGAAGCGAAAGUGACGGUAGGAGCAGAAGAAGCACCGGCCAACUACGUGCCAGCAGCCGCGGUAA